rnacentral:lncRNA from 1 species
AUGUUCUUCAUGACGGCGUCGUGGAUUCGGCGUGAUUGACGGCGGUUCGUGGAUUCGGAUCGUGAGCUUUGUGGAUUCGGAGUGGAGGCGUUUCGUGAAUUCGGAACAUGGCGUUUGUGGAUUCGAACGUAAGGGCGUGGACAACCCGGAGGAUUAUGCGAGAUUCAUAGGAGGUUAAGAGAGGUCGAGUCCGUGGAGUCGGUAAUCACCUUGUAAUCUUUUCUCUUACUGAAUUAUUUUUU